ensembl:misc_RNA 7SK 7SK RNA
GGAUGUGAGGGUGAUCUGGCUGCAACAUCUGUCCCUCCAUUGAUUGUCAGUGUUGAUCCAGCUGAUCUGACUGGCUACAGGUGUCCCCUUCCUCCCUCACCACUCCAUGUGCGUCUGUCCUGAAGCUGCACGCUCAAAGAGGCUGACCUUCUCCAUCAGAGGAAGAGGAUCCUUCUUGGCUGAAGGGCAUACAAGUAGCUGUGCUCCUCUGCUAGAACCAUCAAAGUCCAUUUGAAGGAAAAUGUAGUGUAGUCAGGCUUCCAAGACUAGACACAUCCAAAUGAGGCACUGCAUGUGGCAGUCUGCCUUUCUUU